rnacentral:misc_RNA from 1 species
UCAUGGUUGAUUCCAAAAGAGGAGAUGGAGGCAACAACAAGGGCAGCACAAGAUGACUCGGCAUAUGAGCCAAAAAGAUCAGACCCCAUACCAGCAAUAUCUCCAACAUUGUCACCAACAUUGUCAGCAAUGACAGCUGGGUUUCUAGGAUCAUCUUCUGGAAUGUUUCUCUCAACCUUUCCCACAAGAUCUGCACCAACAUCAGCAGCUUU